rnacentral:snoRNA from 1 species
CUCCAGUGUGCAAUGGAUGCAAAUAGCAGCCCCUUUGUAGUGAACUCAGCCUUUUACUCCUACAUGUUGCCAUAAGGGAUUUUUAGAUACAGUU